UCGGCUAGGUCUCAACAAGACAUGAACGCAAUGGUUCAAGCCCUAACUCAAGUUAUUGGAAACAACAACAACAGCCCACUUCUUCAACAUCAUGAGCAGCAAAACCGAUCUGACACAGCUGAUCAAAACCAAUCUCAACAUCAACAAGCUCAAGAUCAAGGUAGUAUGUUAUGCAUAUAUUUUGGGGUUUUUUUUUAUUUUCUCUCUUAAUUGUUAAAGCUUUUCUUUUGGUGAUUAUUGUCAAUUUGAUUAUAAUUAAUUAUCAUUCAUAAGCCCUACUUAAUCAUAUUUUUCUUCAAAAACAAAAAAGACUAAUGACUGAGAAGGAUUUCUAUAUGAUUUCAUGUGUUUUAAAGGUAUUUUCUUUCACUUCCAAAAGUUCCACAAUAUAUAUAUAUAUAUAUAUAUAUAUCUUGCUUUUUUUUUUUUCCAAACCAAGAUUUAGAAAUUAUGAUUUAUGAAUGUUUAUCUAGCAAAAAAGAAAUUAUGAAUGUGAUUUGAUCCCACAAAAUUAAAGAUAUAUAUGAUAAAGUCUAAAUGCUAUUGAUUCACUUAUUUUCUAGCACAAUUUUUGGGAUUUUUUAUGUUGUAAAUCAACUUAUAUUAGCACAUUAAUGGCUUCCCAAAUCUCCCUCCCUCACUAUAACCAAAUUCCUAGAAUUUCAACGUUUUUAAUGACAUGUCAUGGGCCUUUUGAGCUAUUCCUUUCUUCCUUUGCGGCCUGGUUGGCGGAUGAUUUCAGAUUAGACUAUUAGAGUCGUUGUUCAUGUCCUAACUUAGCAUAUAUCUUCCUUUUUCAUGUAAAAGCGUGAAUGUGAAGUUAUUCUUUGAUUCUUUCUUUUUCCAUUAAAAACUAGAAACAAAAAGCAAAAGCAAAAGUUUUCGUCUGAUGUUUACCUUGAAAAAAACGUGAGCUGUUAAAGGAAACGCGAGGAGAAGACACUAUAGAGGAGUAAGGCAAAGGCCAUGGGGGAAAUGGGCAGCUGAAAUAAGAGAUCCAAAGAAGG
rnacentral:lncRNA from 1 species